rnacentral:lncRNA from 1 species
GGAGUGAUUGAUUAAAACCCUAUUUGAUUUUGAUGAGCUCAAAGCAUUUGAGUAUAUCUUUUGUUUACUAAUGAAUUCAAUUGAGUGUUUCAGUGAAAAUCUUGUCUAAGUGUCUCUAGAUUUGGUUCAAGAUAGUUUGGAUAAGUUAAGAAGUCAGUUUGAACCAAAGUCUGUGACUCGAGUCGACUCCAGAAUAUUACGAGUCGACUCCAAGCGUAUCAGAAUCACUGGCACGGGCUCGAGUCGACU